UACGGGGGGGGCAAGCGUUGUUCGGAAUUACUGGGCGUAAAGGGCUCGUAGGCGGCCAACUAAGUCAGACGUGAAAUCCCCAGGCUCAACCUGGGAACUGCGUCUGAUACUGGAUGGCUUGAAUCCGGGAGAGGGAUGCGGAACUCCAGGUGUAGCGGUGAAAUGCGUAGAUAUCUGGAGGAACACCGGUGGCGAAGGCGGCAUCCUGGACCGGCAUUGACGCUGAGGAGCGAAAGCCAGGGGAGCAAACGGG
rnacentral:rRNA from 1 species